rnacentral:lncRNA from 1 species
ACACUUCGCUUCUCUGUGAAAUGAUUCUAACAAGGUUGUACUAUUAAUUUCACUUAGUAUGCAUAGCAACUAUCACUAGAUGAGUAAGGAAGAGCCAUUUCAGAACCUGGAUGAACUGUGAAGAAAGACACCUUUGCUUUCAGUACAUCACAAUGAAAAUCAGAUUUGUGACACUCAUGGGUCAGGAAAAAGGUGCUCCCAAACAGAUGGGUAAAUAAAACAAGCUUCACAACACUUGGAUGGAGUGCUGAGGGUCUGGACAGACAUGGAGCUAUUCAUCAGUGCAAAGAACUUUAUGUCUGUGCACAGGGAGGUCAUGCUGAAUUGCUUCCUGCUAAUACUUAUGAAAGUUAAACUGAUACAACUGUUCCCUCACAAUUUUGGUGGCCACAGACAGAAAGUGAUUGUUACCCCAAUUAUGGGGGAGACCCUAUGCUAUUCAUACUUGUCAUUAACACAUAAUAAACAUGACAGGAACCACUGGAUACUAAGGAUACUAGUCUCUGUGUUAUUUUGGUCUUCCACAGGAAAAACAAACAAACAAACAACAACAACAACAAGAGCCCUCUCAAACUAGGGACACAGAUAAAAGCAGAGAUGUUUAAUGCUUUCUUU